rnacentral:rRNA from 1 species
GACGAACGCUGGCGGCGUGCCUAAUACAUGCAAGUUGAGCGAUGAAGAUUGGUGCUUGCCCCAAUUUGAAGAGCAGCGAACGGGUGAGUAACGCGUGGGGAAUCUGCCUUUGAGCGGGGGACAACAUUUGGAAACGAAUGCUAAUACCGCAUAACAACUUUAAACAUAAGUUUUAAGUUUGAAAGAUGCAAUUGCAUCACUCAAAGAUGAUCCCGCGUUGUAUUAGCUAGUUGGUGAGGUAAAGGCUCACCAAGGCGAUGAUACAUAGCCGACCUGAGAGGGGGAUCGGCCACAUUGGGACUGAGAACCGGCCCAAACUCCUCGGGGAGGCAGCAGUGGGAAAUCUUGGCAAUGGACGAAAGUCUGACCGAGCAACGCCGCGUGAGUGAAGAAGGUUUUCGGAUCGUAAAACUCUGUUGGUAGAGAAGAACGUUGGUGAGAGUGGAAAGCUCAUCAAGGGACGGUAACUACCCAGAAAGGGACGGCUAACUACGU